GAUGAACGCUGGCGGCGUGCUUAACACAUGCAAGUCGAACGGAAAGGCCCAGCUUGCUGGGUUCUCGAGUGGCGAACGGGUGAGUAACUCGCGGGUGAUCUGCCUUGCACUCUGGGAUAAGCCUGGUCAACUGGGUCUAAUACCUGAUAUGACCAACUGUCGCCCGGAGGUUGGUGGAAAGCUUUUGCGGUUUGGGAUAGGUUCGCGGCCAAUCAGCUUGUCGGUGGGGUAAUGGUCUACUAACGCGUCGACGGGUAGCCGACAUGGGAGGGGGAUCGGGGACACUGGGACUAAGAGACGGCCCAGAAUCCAACGGGAGGCAGCAGGGGAGAGUAUUGCACAGUGGGGGCAAGCCUGAUGCAGCGACGCCGCGUGAGUGAUGACGGCCUUCGGGUUGUAAACCUCUUUCUCCAGGGACGAAGCGUGAGUGACGGUACCUAGAGAAGAAGCACCGGCCAACUACGUG
rnacentral:rRNA from 1 species